GCCUAGUUAGCUUAGUUGAUAGCGCAUCUGCCUUGUAAGCGGUAGGCCGCGGGUUCAAACCCCGCCAGGGGCG
rfam:Asian citrus Psyllid, Diaphorina citri - Florida Strain, whole genome shotgun sequence.